rnacentral:lncRNA from 1 species
GGUGAAUUCCAUGAGCCCCUUUUUGUGGAGGUCUUGAAGGCGACCAGCCUCCGCAGUGACUUUCGAAUGGAUCUUCCUCAGCUGGUGAAGUUCAUCUUCCAGCUUCUUAGAUUUCUUCGUCAACUGACGAACUUUUCUUCUGAGGUCUCGGAUCGUCGACUUCAGAGGAAUCUCCUAUGGUAGGGGGAGAGCUUCGGUAGGACACUGUCGUUGGGAGACAAAAGUGUCGC